rfam:Ovis aries breed Texel chromosome 4, whole genome shotgun sequence.
UCCCUGGUGGUCUAGUGGUUAGGAUCUGGCACUUUUACUGCUAUGGCCCAAGUUCAAUCCCUGGUCAGGGAA